rnacentral:rRNA from 1 species
AUUGAACGCUAGCGGCAUGCCUUACACAUGCAAGUCGAACGGUAACAGGUCUUCGGAUGCUGACGAGUGGCGAACGGGUGAGUAAUACAUCGGAACGUGCCUAGUAGUGGGGGAUAACUACUCGAAAGAGUGGCUAAUACCGCAUGAGAUCUACGGAUGAAAGCAGGGGAUCGCAAGACCUUGUGCUACUAGAGCGGCCGAUGGCAGAUUAGGUAGUUGGUGGGAUAAAAGCUUAGCAAGCCGACGAUCUGUAGCUGGUCUGAGAGGACGAUCAGCCACACUGGGACUGAGACACGGCCCAGACUCCUACGGGAGGCAGCAGUGGGGAAUUUUGGACAAUGGGCGCAAGCCUGAUCCAGCAAUGCCGCGUGCAGGAUGAAGGCCUUCGGGCUGUAAACUGCUUUUGUACGGAACGAAAAGCCCUGGGUUAAUACCCUGGGGCCAUGACGGUACCGUAAGAAUAAGCACCGGCUAACUACGUGCCAGCCGCCGCAGUAA